rnacentral:lncRNA from 1 species
UCCAGUAUUAGCGAUGAUAGAUGGAUUGAAUCCACUGACAAAAGUAAAGGGAAAAAUCCAAUCUCAAGUCCGCUGUUAGAGCGGAUCCAACCCAAUAGCAAUAGUACAUUCAAUGUCAGGAGCUGCAAGUGCAAUUGCUUUUUCUGGCUUACGUUGAGGAUUCCUAUGCUCUCAUUUAAGUCUGACCCAUCAACAAAUCAUUCCUUAUUCCCAG